GACAGAGGGUGCAAACGUUGUUCGGAAUUACUGGGCGUAAAGCGCGUGUAGGCGGCCCUGCAAGUCGGGUGUGAAAGCCCUCGGCUCAACCGAGGAAGUGCACUCGAAACUGCAGGGCUCGAGUCCCGGAGAGGAUAGUGGAAUUCUCGGUGUAGAGGUGAAAUUCGUAGAUAUCGAGAGGAACACCGGUGGCGAAGGCGGCUAUCUGGACGGUGACUGACGCUGAGACGCGAAAGCGUGGGGAGCAAACAGG
rnacentral:rRNA from 1 species